AACAGCUGGAUUGAGUUAGCCGACCGGAAGAGCUUUUUACAGGAGGCAACAAACAUUAAAUCUGCUCAAUGUUUUGUUCUCGUGGCAUUACUUGAUCAGUUUAUUGGUUGUCGAUUCAGCGAAAUCGACGCCCUCGUUUUGCUCGUGGGACUAUGGCGUCGGGGCUCGUUUUUUUUUGUCGUUUGAAUCCGACCACAAGGUGCCUUUAAUUCAUAGUAGCAGCAAUUCAAGACGAAGAAGAGACAGAAGUGACGCAAUUGGCGUGGUUUUAUAGACAGGCAUGAUCUUACAAUUAAAGGAUAUUUCUCGUGACUGCAAAAUAAAAAACGGAAAUAUCUCUUAAUUGUUUGGUUAAGUCUGUCAGAGGCGCAGAACUGAAACUUUCAGCACCAUCGGCACCGGACAGCUCCCUCUGCAAAGUGCACAAGUCCGAGGGGAGAAAAGAAAAGCACCUGUGGAGCAAAGAAGGUCCGAGAUCUCCCACCCUGCUCGAUGUCUCCAUAGACUCAACACAACGACAGCGCCAGCCAAGACUCACGCGCACGCUCAUCUGGUUUUCAUCGCAGUCAAGAAAUAACCCGCAAUGCCUGCAAAGUUGUUGUAAAAUCACACACUGCCCCUACUGGCCACCUGUGGAUGCUGCAGUUUUUUUUUAUAACAAUCCAUGACAUUUCAGUGUGAUUUAGAUUAAAAAAUGGGAGCUCAAAAGGAAUUUUAAAACACACCGUUUUGUGAAGAAAUGGUUUUUAAUCCGUUUAUAUCUAAAAGUGGAGCAUAACGUGUAUGCGGACUGUAAUGCUAACCUUCAUAUUAGUGCAACACGUCAAGUUGCAAACAUAAGGAACACACGGUAUGAAUUGAUUGUUGAAGCCCUUUGAUCCAAAUUAUAAUACCAGUAGUAGUAGUAGUAGUAGAUAGUACAUAGUAGAUUAACCCAGAUGCAUUCCAAGGGGAUAAAAACACAAAGAUUAACCUUGAGAUCUGAGAUUUCAGAUUUAAGCUGACGGGCAUCCAAAAUUCCAUAAACAAUUCAAUACAUCACAGAAAGUCUUGUAAUUGUAUUGAUCUAUGAAGCAAACUGUUGUUGAGACUUCACCAACAAUUUAUUUUCACUGGAAAAUUUCACUGGCUUGUUUUUUGAGUUCUUUGGUUCUUAUGACUGUAUGUGAUGCAAAUUUGCCAUUUGCUCUCUCUCUCUCUCUCUCUCUCUCUCUCUCUCUCUCUCUCUCUCUCUCUCUCUCUCUCUCUCUCUCUCUCUCUCUCUCUCUCUCUCUCUCUCUUUUAGAGGAGUAACACCUUACUGACCCUUAAAAGCUGCAAAGACGCCACAUGUGAACAUUUCUUUUUUAUAUGCACUCAAGAUGUUUAAUAAUGAAAUAAUGAUGGUCUCACAUUUUGUAUGUUUUGAUAUGAUCAACAACUAUCUCUCAAUUAGGAAUAAACUGGAUAAAACACUAA